rnacentral:rRNA from 1 species
AACGAACGCUGGCGGCAUGCCUAACACAUGCGAGUCGAACGAGACCUUCGGGUCUAGUGGCGCACGGGUGCGUAACGCGUGGGAACCUGCCCUUAGGUUCGGAAUAACUCCCCGAAAGGGGUGCUAAUACCGGAUAAUGUCUUCGGACCAAAGAUUUAUCGCCUUUGGAUGGGCCCGCGUUGGAUUAGCUAGUUGGUAGGGUAAAAGCCUACCAAGGCGACGAUCCAUAGCUGGUCUGAGAGGAUGAUCAGCCACACUGGGACUGAGACACGGCCCAGACUCCUACGGGAGGCAGCAGUGGGGAAUAUUGGACAAUGGGCGAAAGCCUGAUCCAGCAAUGCCGCGCGAGUGAUGAAGGCCUUAGGGUUGUAAAGCUCUUUUACCCGGGAUGAUAAUGACAGUACCGGGAGAAUAAGCUCCGGCUAACUCCGUG